rnacentral:misc_RNA from 1 species
GUGAGUCAUCGAAUCUUUGAACGCACAUUGCGCCCCCUGGUAUUCCGGGGGGCAUGCCUGUUCGAGCGUCAUUACAACCCUCAAGCUCUGCUUGGUAUUGGGCUCUGCCGGUCCCGGCAGGCCCUAAAAUCAGUGGCGGUGCCAUCCGGCUUCAAGCGUAGUAAUUCUUCUCGCUUUGGAGGCCCGGGUGCGUGCUUGCCAGCAACCCCCAAUUUUUUUCAGGUUGACCUCGGAUCAGGUAGGGAUACCCGCUGAACUUAAGCAUAUCAAUAAGCGGAGGA